CGCUUUUAGAGUCAGUUUCAUACUUCAGGCAUAAAUAUUUUAGCUGCUUUAUUNUUUAGCCAAUGUCUGGCCAUUUUUGUCAUGAUUCUCUGAUGACCAAAUAGUAGCGUGGUGUUCAUUUGACAACCACAGGAGAAAAGGGAAAAGAGUGGAAGAAUAUGCCAGAGGACUGGAGAUUCCAGGACAGCACUGAGGAGAGCUUCAAAGUUAACCCACAGUGUCAGGCAAAUGAGCACCAUUAACAAAUCAUUUGAGAAAAAUGAGUCUUAUAUCGUCACUGCCGCUAUUCCUGCCACCAUCUCCAAAGAACCUUGGAUUGCUACGAUAUUUACAGAGAAAAUCACCUUGGACACUCUACCUAUCUCAGCCUGAAGAUCAUGAAGCUGGUGGAUGCUGGCAGUGAUAAACUGAACUAUUACUGCCAGCUCACAUCCUCUUUUCUGGGCAACUUUGCAAUUCCUCCCACAAAAAUAAAAACUGUACUUCCUUGACCUUUGAGUUCA
rnacentral:lncRNA from 1 species